UCCCUGGUGGCUCAGUGGAAAAGAAUCUGCCUGUAAGGCAGGACAUACAGGUUUGAUCCCUGGCUCGGGAA
rnacentral:tRNA from 1 species